GACGAACGCUGGCGGCGUGCUUAACACAUGCAAGUCGAACGAAAAGAGGGAAAGAGCUUGCUCUUUCCGGAAUUGAGUGGCAAACGGGUGAGUAACACGUAAACAACCUGCCUUCAGGAUGGGGACAACAGACGGAAACGACUGCUAAUACCGAAUAAGUUCCAAGAGCCGCAUGGCCCGUGGAAGAAAAGGUGGCCUCUACCUGUAAGCUAUCGCCUGAAGAGGGGUUUGCGUCUGAUUAGCUGGUUGGAGGGGUAACGGCCCACCAAGGCGACGAUCAGUAGCCGGUCUGAGAGGAUGAACGGCCACACUGGAACUGAGACGCGGUCCAGACUCCUACGGGAGGCAGCAGUGGGGAAUCUUCCGCAAUGGGCGAAAGCCUGACGGAGCAACGCCGCGUGAGUGAUGACGGCCUUCGGGUUGUAAAACUCUGUGAUCCGGGACGAAAAGGCAGAGUGCGAAGAACAAACUGCAUUGACGGUACCGGAAAAGCAAGCCACGGCUAACUACGUG
rnacentral:rRNA from 1 species